rnacentral:lncRNA from 1 species
UGGUAAAGCAAUGAGGCCUCCUGCCAGCAGCCAUGUGAGUGGCAUCUUGGAGCCAGACCCUCCAGCCCCAGUCAAGCCUUCGGAUGCCUGCAGCCCUGGCUGACAUUUUAACCACAACUUCAUGAGAGAUUCUGAGCCAGAAUCACCCAGCUAAGCUGCUCCCGGGUUGCCAGCUUCCAGAAUCACGGUAGGAUGACCUCUCUCCCCUGCUUGGAAGUUACGUAUAUCCACGCAACUUUGAAAUUGAGUAAGACUGGGAUGUGUCAUCCCCAAGAGGGCACUUCAAGAGCCAGUGUGCCAUCACAACCUCUUUCUCUCCCUCUAUCAAACCAGUUGCCAGUGUUAUAAAUAAUGAGACCAUGCUCUAUCAGCUUGGGGCCAGGGGUUGGGGUGAUGUGGAGCAGAGCUGUUAGCUGACCCACCAUGGAUGUGUAGCAGCGGAAGAAGCAAGCCGUGUGCUGUUGAAGCACCCACAUUUUUGGUGUUACUGCAGCACAACCUGAACUAUACUGACUGAUGCAGGUGAGGAUACACAGGGAUCCUCUGUCCCUCCACCCCCAGCUCUUCAUGCUCUUUGGGCCCAGGAAAGCCAGUAUCUCCAUUGAGGUCAGCAGGAUCAUGCCCUUGAUGUGGGUUCCCUGUCCCCUGCCCAGGGGACCUCCACCGUGUCCACACCUGGAUAAAAAGUGAGGAGCUUGGUUCAGGAGUGGGCUGGGGGCCUGGCCUGGUCAUCACGACCUCUCUGUUUAGAACCCUGUGGAUGGGAAAGGCUUACAUGGCAGUAAGAGGAGUUGAAGGUGUUAAGUAACGGCCCGUGUGAUCCAGUUCUGAAAACCACAAAGUCAACAGUGAUUGAUCCUUUGCUUUCUUUUCCAGAACCAUAGAGAAUUUGGGGAAAAUACUGUCUGGCCACCCAGAAAACAAAGACCAGUUAGGAUUUGUUUUAUUUUCUCUUCUUCCCAGAUCAAUCCACAGUUCUCCAGGGACCCAUUGUGGUUUUGUGCUUCCUCUGUGCCUGUUCUGCUCCUCUCCAUGCACCCCAGCCCCUCCCAGUCCCCUCAACGGUCCUUCUGGCCAGGCCCAUAGCCCCCUCUCUGCCCCACAGUCCUCAGGCUCCAGCUUUCUCGUUAGGAAGUGUUAGAAAGUUGCUGGAGUGAGAAAUGAGCCUGUGAAACUCGUUGUCCUAAUUAAACUUCCACAAGGAGAGUGACAAGAGGCGACGGGGAGGAAACGGUGCCACCACCAAGGUCUCAGCCUGGGCCCAGGUCGAGGAAGGCCUUUGUCCUGCAGAACAAAAGCCACUGUUUGCACGUGUUAAACUUCAUCAAACUUCAACAGACCCAGGUGCAAAACCCCACAUCCCAAAUGCCAUCCGGGCUUAUGCCACCUUCCCGAGCAUGGACCGUCCCUAGCCGUCAACCCUAAUCAGGGCCAUGCCCUACAUCAAAGCUGCACUCCCUCCACAGACAGCUUCUGCUCUGAGAUGCAUUGUUCCUAUGACUUCCUACACUCCGCCCUUGUCUGACGAAUUAGGGCACGGAGCCCCCCCAUGGCACAGCUGGGCCCUGCUGGCAUUGUUAAUGAGGUAGGAAGGGCGCGUUUGUCUGAGCCUGGGACUAACAUAAUCACAUAAAGUUGUUGCUUUGGAAUAGAUGGAGCUGCCCCAGAGUCGAUUUUCUUGGAAGCAACGCAAAGCACAGCUUCCUGGGAGAAGACACAAUGCCUCCUAUUGUCUCUGCCACUUCCCCUCCAGCCUCCCAGCAUUUCUGCGUCUCCUCGGGAGCCACUGCCCUGUGCAAGAGCUGUUUGCUGAUGCCCAGCCGCGGCUUCCAAAACUCCCGCGAGAAGUCGUUUCUGUCCACAGUCAUUGUUUCCAGACCAGCCGAGCCAACUGGGGAGGAGAGGCCAAGCCCAGGGAGAGCAGUAAGAGGCCCAGCUUGCAACACAGGCCCCCGGCGGCUGGAGUCGGCUCAUGGGUUGCUGGGGGGCAGCUGGUGCCAGCCCUGCUAGACAUGUCCAGGGUCGGGGCAGAGGCCAGGGUGGCUCUCAUCCACAACGAGGCUCCAGGAAGAGGCUCCAGAGGGCCCAGGUCCCUGGAGGAAGACAGAGGGUGGAUUAUCCAGUGAGUCCUCAGAUUGCUCCAGGGAGACUCUACCCCUAGGCCCUCAUCCUACCUAGGACUGAGGCAGCCAUCUGGGUCUCUGCUUCCCUAACCACUUCCUCCUCCACCCGACCAUCACCUAGUCUCAAGGACUUGGGCAGCUUCUGGAAGUGGCUGAGACUGGAAGAAUGUUGUCACACCUACCAGAUAUCCCUACGUGUAUCUCUACCACCCCCACUACAUAUUCUGAAGAACCAAGGUGCAACAGGAACCUGGAGCCUCAAGAGCCGAGGUGCUCAGGAGGGGCAGCAUGACUCCAGGGCUCGGAAGGAGCCCCUCAGGUAAGGUCCCCUCAAAGCCUG